CCAGGAUCGGUAUCUCUCUCCUGGUUGCUUGAAGUUGUUCUCCUUCUGAAUCACACACUGCAAUAAACAAAAAAAUAAAUAAAUAAGCCACAUAUUUUAGGGUCACAUCAUAUCAUAGUUCACCAAUCCAAAGGUCCAGCAGGACCAAAGACAGUUCCAAAAUUCAAAGAGAAAUUCCAAUCCAUCAGCUAAGAACAAGGCACUUGAGGAGAAGGCAUGGAGACCUCCAAAGAUCCCAUGCAAGAAAAGAAACUAUAGCAAGCAACAUUAGCAGAAAAAGCAAUAGCUCAAUGGCUGGCAUCCAUAGUUUGCUCACAGGAAAACAGAUAAUGUCACGUUCAAGAAAGGGAGUAACUUCUACUCGUUAAUGUUCAGUAUAUCGCUUCAAAGGAGGACAGUUUGCAGCAGAGCAACUAAGGGCCUGUUCUCAAAUAAUUCCAAAUACCUGAUUUUAGCUUUUGAUUCUUAAGAAGUUAGUUCUCUCUGUUGUCAAUUGCCUUUUAAAACCUGCUUUUGGUUUUUUUGGAGCAAAAUAGAUGAAAAUCAGAAGUGGCAAAACAGCUGCUUUUGGUACCAAUUCUGCUUCUGAAAACUAGAAGCGAUUGAGAACAAACCAUAAAAAUUCAAGAACUUUUUCACUUUCUUCCUCCUACUCAUCUACAUGCCCACUCUCCUAUUUUAGGAGAGAGGAGGGGAAGGGAGCGAAGAAGCAAAGAUUAUGUAUCGUCUAUUCUUCAAAUCCCAAGAUGAAGUUAUUACGACAACCGAUUUCCCCAGAUUUGAUUAACUGCGUAAAGUUAUCAAUUUUUUUCCAUAGUUCCUUCGUCUAGAUUCAAAAAAGUUCAAUUUUUUCCUACUCAUAGAAACUCACCUUGUCACGCUUUCCACUCAGGACAGGAGGGGGGAUGGGAUGCCUCUCAGCAUGACGAACAGGAUCGUACCUUGAAGGGAAAUAAUUGACCUGAAAAAAACAUUGAACAAAAAAGUUUAGCACAACUAAGCAUAAGAUUAGCCCAUUUUAACUCCCAUUCACAAAGUCCCUAAGCCCAAAAAAAAAAACCCUGAAGUGAUUUAAUUGUAAAGCAACCACACAACAAAGUUUGAAAAAGGGAAUGGGUACUACUUCUGGCAUUUUUUCAUUUUUCAAACUGACCUCUAUGCCUUGAGUCAUGACAAUAUGUUAUAAGAUAGCUUUCCACUCAACUCUUAUUUGCCCACUAAUUCUUCACAACUUAUUUAUUUCACACAAAGAAUUUCCUUUUUCACAGUACAUAAAAAUGAAGAACAUCGAUCUAUCUGUCGGUGACUUCUUAUCUCCAAUCUUGAACAUCUACAAGUCUUCAUAUCAACCACCAAGUUUAUAUUCACAACCACCUCAUGUCACAAAAAUGGUAUCUAAUGAAAAGUUACUUUAUACCAGCAACCGGUCAUAGAUAAUUAUAUUUACUAAAUCACAUAAAAUGUAACCUUAAAUGCUGAGUUGAACCAGGAAACUAACUGGUAUAAAGAACAAGCAGGAUGUCCUCAAAAUGAAGACCAAAUUAGAGAACGACGCAUAAUUUGUGGUUCAUUAUUACCAAAAGAGGGAUCAGUACCUCUUCAUCCCGGUGCAUGAAGUUCAUGAAACCAUCAUGGUGAUUGUUGUGAUGAGCACACUUGGGAGCAUUUGCUGGAAGCUGCAGAUAGUUCGGGCCAAGACGGUGUCGCUGGGUAUCAGCAUAUGAGAAUAUGCGAGUCUGGAGCAGCUUGUCAUCUGAAUAAUAUAUUCCAGGUACAAUAAUAGCAGGGCAAAAUGCAAGCUGCUCGUUCUCAGCAAAGAAGUUGUCAAUAUUCUUGUUCAAUACCAACCGGCCCACAGGUUGCAAAGGCAAAAUAUCUUCAGGCCAGGUCUUGCUUACAUCAAGCGGAUCAAAAUCAAACCGAUCUUCAUGAUCAGGAUCCAUAAUCUGGAUAAAAAGUUUCCACUCCGGAUAGUUUCCAGCAGCAAUUGAGUCAUAGAGAUCCUGGGUAGCAUGGCUAUGAUUUGAUCCUCCAACCUUAAUAGCUUCUUCCUCCAACAGGCUCUUCACUCCACAGGUUGGCUUCCAGUGGAACUUCACAUAACUAGCUUUUCCAGCCUUGUCGAUCAGAGUGUAAGUAUUGACGCCAAAGCCUUCCAUAUGCCUGUAAUCUUGUGGAAUGCCGACAUCAUCAAAGAGGAAAGUAAACAUAUGCAAGCUCUCAGGAUGAUGGGAGAAAAAAUCAAGGAUUCUCCAAUUCUCCUGGAUGUGGGACUUUGGAUUCGGUUUCAGAGCAUGGACCAUAUCUGGGAAUUUCAUUCCAUCACGAACAAAAAAGACAGGGAAAUUGUUUCCCACCAAAUCGAAAUUACCCUAUCCAGAUGCACAAAGAAACCAUCAGCAGCUUAUCAAGAGUUACCAAGAAAUGCAGACCAAGAACUAAAUAAAACACCAACCACAUAAUCCAAGUCCCCUAAGAUCAUCUAUUGUGCCCGGAAAGCUUAUGUUCCUAGUUGUGGUGCUUACAAGUUAAUUGAAUGGAUAAGCUGCAUCUUGCUGCUAAAUCAACAUACGCUUUCAGAAGGGGAAGCUCCCAAUUUUCAGAAUGCCAAAGUGUGCUAAGUGUGGGGUGGAGGGCAACAAAGUUAGGACAACUAUUAUUCGUGUUUUAUUCACAUCCAUAUGUGUUGAAUUUGAGAACUUCAAUGCCAUGGAAUACCAAAGGAAGGCUUCACAAUGGUUGGCUAAGUGGCAAAAAGUAUAAACUGCUAGACUGACACGUCCAAUUCAGGAGCUGUACAUCAUGCAAAUUCAGCUCUUCAAAAUCCUGUGAUUGUCUCUAAGCACAGCUCGUAUCCAUUACUUUUCAGAUAUGAGACAAAGAGGCUUGACAUGUUAACUAAACAACACAUGUCAGUGGCUUUCUGCUGAUUUAAUUCUUAAUAUGUGCACAGCAUAUGAAUCCAUCUAGUUGACUGACGGAUUAGCAGAACUAUUUUCUGAAGGAAAACAACAGAACUUACCUCCCUAGUGUAAAAUUUCACAGCAAAACCUCGGGGGUCCCUGAGGGUUUCAGGACUUCCACGCUCAUGAAUAACAGUUGAGAAACGGACAAUGACAGGUGUCUGAACUCCUGGAGCACGAAGAAAAUCAGCACAAGUGAGAUUAGAAAUGUCAUGAGUGACCUCAAAGAAGCCCUUGGCACUGGCUCCCCUUGCAUGAACUACACGCUCCGGAAUCCGCUCACGGUCGAAAUUUGCAAGUUUCUCCACCAAAUGAUAAUCCUCGAGAAGAACCGGACCUGGCACAUGAAGAAGACGAAAAGCUAAAUACUUGUAAUCACAAAAUGCCAUAUUAAAAUAAAGGGAUAAUUUCAGAAACCUCCCUGAGGUUUCUGACAAUUUUACUGAACUCCCUUGAGGUUUAAAAAAUUACAUAUACCUUCCUUAUCAUUUAAAAUGACAAUUUUACUCUUAAAUAUUUUAAUGAAAUCUCCUUAUUUGGUAUGCUUAAUGCUUAAAAUUAUUUUUUCAUUCUUUUCCUUCUUAUUCCUUUUUUUAAUUUUUCGCUAAUAAAACUAUAGAACUACCACUAUUGCCUCUAGUUUCUAUUAUAACCAAAUGUCGAACUAGUGAUUUUUUUUGACGAGUUAAUUUUAUAUGCUAUCCAAUGUUUUUGUUAAUCUUUGUUUUCUAUUUUUUGGUAUUAAAAUUAACAAUAAAUCAAAAAGAAAUGGCCUAAAAGCAUUAUUAAAUUAUGAUAAUUGCACUACUCCAAAAAUUCAUAAAUUAUAAAUGAAUAUUUCAGCAUUUUCUUUUCUAUCUUAUAAAUCUAAAUCUACAAUAGAAUACCAUCAAAAGUAUCAUAUCAUAGUAAUAAAUUAUUAUCAUAGUUGUUUAUAGUAAAUAUGGACAUGAAAAUUUUGGCACCUUUUCCUUAUAAUUGUACUAAAUAAUCUUAUAAUUAUAUAGGGAAAUAAAUUAAAAAUCAUUACACAAGGGCAUUUUUGGGUAUUCAUUUAAAAAACUGACCAAGUCAAUAUUAUUUUAAGGUUUUGUUACUAAAACUAUCAAAUUCAAGAGAGGUAAGUGUAAUUUUCCAAACCAUAGGGGAGCUCAAUGAAAUAGUCAAAAACCCCGGGGGAGGUUUCUGAAAUUAUCCCUAAGAUAAACCAGGUGGUUGUUGUCACAAUAAGGUUUCAAUAUCAGAAUAUUAAAAUUAAAAACUAAUUGUAUGUCUACGUUCAGGACUUCUUAACGUAUUUAUUUCAUUAAAUAACAGGAAAUUUCUGAUAAAGACCUCAUAGCAUUUAGGAUAUAGAGGAAACAAAUAGAUAUAGGUAAAACCAAAAUGAGUUUUUGUGAAUUUCGUAUUCUUCAAGCUACUGCAUCUAAUGAGUAAAAAAUAACAGCAAGUCAUAACACAAGAUUCAAUCCCAAAAUAAACCAAACAAUGACAUUUCUAACAAUAAGAAAUUCAAUGCGAAACGGGGGAUAAAAUUGCAUAAACAAUAAGAAUCUUAGAUCAUAGAAAAGAAAGGAAAGAAAACAGUAUAAGCACCUCUGGUUCCAACGGUGAGAGAGGAGUUAUUGUUCCAGACGGAGGCACCAGAAUUGGUUGUCCAGAAGGGAGAAUUGAAAGCACUCGAUGGCCGAUACUACACAAAUCACAAAGGACCAAAUACAAACUCUCCAAUCAUUAGAAAUAACUAAAACACGCUAAACCUCAGCGUUACUAUAAAAGAUAGGAAGUUUGGAAUUUUCACCGAAAAAAAAAAUUGAGAUUUUCAUUUUAUCUAAUCGGGUGAGAGCUAAGCAUAAAAAAGUUAAAAUGGAAGCUAAGAAUUACGAAAUUUUUUCUCAGAAGCGAUUACUGGCGAAAGAAAAAAAAUGAGUUGCUCAGAAAUCCGUGAUGGCCAUGGAAAGCGGCAAAAUUAGACCUCGACUUCGACUUAAAAAAUGAACGAAUUCAACAUCAGCUCGUCCAAAUUACAUGAGCGGAUGGUGCAGAUAUAUUACCUUGCAUGGAUCCAUUGCUACAGUCAGCGAAGGGGCGGUGGGUGGCGAUAGAUUUUUGGCUGGGGAUAAAGCAAGUCGGGAAGGGGAAUGGCAAUCACCGUCUUUCGAAAAAACCAAAAGACCCACGAAUUUAUUGAUAAAAUUAGGAGUGGGUCCCGUCCCGAGGCUCGCAUUUCUAGCUUAUCCACUGCCUAGCACGCAGACGCAGUGCCCAAUCCAAGAGCCAAUCUUUUUUUUUUUUUUUCCUAAUUGCUUCAACAAAGUGAGAAAAAAAAAAUUCAUUCGUAGGUGAAUUUUUCAGGUCAGGAUAUAAUCGCCAAUUUAAACUUUCCCCAUCCUGAUCCUAUUGUCCAAAUUCCUAGUUUUUAUUUGGAUUAUUUUAUCGGAUUCCUUCAAGCCAUCCUCCGUAUAUUUAAAUUUCAUCCAAUCCAUCAUCUAAUCCGUCGCGUGUCUAUAUCUAUAUAUAUUGAUACGCCAGGGUCCAUUACUAGUUUAAGACGGUAGGGUCAUCCACUGCAGACAAUGCCCGCUCACAAGCCAGCCUUCCCACGCCCAGUUCAAACGAAUACUUUUUCACUUUGAUGGGUUAUUGCAUGACAUGGAUCGCAACCAAGUCUGCCCCUUUCCCACCCGAAAGUAUAUAUAUACAUGUGUGUGGAUACAUAAAACAACCACGGCAGCCCCGGGAAUUAAUCAGAAGCUGCGUCACUGCACGCUAGCGUCAUUUCCUCCCUCCACUAAGCCAAGAAAAAGAGAGGGAGAAGACGGUUCCGCCGUACAUGGCGGCACCAAAACUGUCGAGGGCAUCCCUACCCAGAUACCAACCAUUCAGAGCGCCCUCCCAACCUCAUUGGCAGAACAGCUGGAUGUGGGGUUGAGAGUUGCAUGCAUGAAGGUCGCAAUUGGGGAAAAGCUGCGGGUACCUUCACACAUACUUGAUCCCCAAAAUAUAUACACCCUCAAAAAUGCCACAAGAGCACCUUCCAGGUAUAUUGGCAGUCGCCCAAAGGACACGAGUGGGCAAUGUCAAAUCUAUUCACAGAAGUUAUCCUCCACAAUUCAAUGGAGAAGGAAAAUUGUUUUUUUGGGUUGGCGGUUUUUUGGGGAGGGGGGGUUUGGAGGAAGAUGCAUGAUCAAGUAAAUCCUCGCACAGAGAACCGUUAUUUAUUUAACACCGGGACAUAAUUUCAGUUUAAACCAGACAUGGAAGCCUGUUCGGUACAUAAUACAACACACUGACUGAAGCACACUGAAGGACACCAUCAACCUCUCCGAGAACAAACACUCCCUAGCCCGUAAGCCACCAGGAACAUUUAUGGCCUUCACAUUGUUGGUCUUACAUUGAGACGAGUAGCCAUUUUCUGACCAAGAGAUUUGUCAGCCUGCAAGACAAUCAAGUACUGAAUCAGCAAAACCUACAUUUUUUCCCAAGGCUAGACUACUACAGAUGCAAGUUAGAAAAAAACAGGGAGGUAUGUAGACAUGAAAAUCAGACCUGAGACCAGUAUGAAAUCCAGAUACUGCGGAUCUCAUGGGUGACUCGUGCAUCAGAUAAAAUAUCAACCCAUCGGCAGAUAAAUCUCUCUUGCCUGAGGAACACGGAUCAAUCAGAACUCCAGAAAAAUGAAACGCAUACCAUCAGUCAAAGAGCCAUUAAGCAGUAAGCACCAAGAAAUACCUGUCAGGUGCCCAGGAUCGGUAUCUCUCUCCCGCUUGCUUGAAGUUGUUCUCCUUCGGAAUAACACACUGCAAAAAAAAAACCCACAAAUUUUAGGGUCACAUCAUAUCAUAUUUCACCAAUCCAAAGGUCCAGCAGGACCAAAGACAAUUCCAAAAUUCAAAGAGAAAUUCCAAUCCAUCAGCUAAGAACAAAGGCACUUGAGGAGAAGGCAUGUAGACCUCCAAAGAUCCCAUGCAAGAAAAGAAACUAUAGCAAGUACCAUUAGCAGAAAAAGCAAUAGCUCAAUGGCUGGCAUCCAUAGUUUGCUCACAGGAAAACAGAUAAUGUCAUGUUCAAGAAAGGGAGUAAGUUCUACUCGUUAAUGUUCAGUAUAUCGCUUCAAAGGAGGACAGUUUGCAGCAGAGCAACUAAGGGCCUAUUCUCAAAUAAUUCCAAAUACCUGAUUUUAGCUUUUGAUUCUUAAGAAGUUAGUUUCUCUCUGUUGUCAAUUGCCUUUUAAAACCUGCUUUUGGCUUUUUUGGAGCAAAAUAGAUGAAAAUCAGAAGCGGCAAAACAGCUGCUUUUGGUACCAAUUCUGCCAAUUAUGAAAACUAGAAGCGAUUGAGAACAGACCACAAAAUUCAAGACCUAUUUAUCACUUUCUUCCUCCUACUCAUCUACAUGCACUCUCUCCUAUUUUAGGAGAGAGGAGGGGGAGGGAGGGGAGAAGCAAAGAUUGUGUAUCAUAUAUUCUUCAAAUCCCAAGAUGAAGUUAUUAAGAGAACCGAUUUCCCCAGAUUUGAUUAACUGCAUAAAGGUAUCAAUUUUUUUUCCAUAGUUCCUUUAUCUAGAUUCAAACAACAGCAAGAGCCUGAAAGUAAGCAAAUCUACUCAUAGAAACUCACCCUGUCACGCUUUCCUCUCAGGACAGUAGAGGGGAUGGGAUGCCUCGCAGCAUGACGAACAGGAUCGAACCUUGAAGGGAAAUAAUCGACCUGAAAAAACAUUGAACAAAAAAGUUUAGUACAACUAAGCAUAAGAUAAGCCCAUUUUAACUCCCAUUCACAAAGUCCCUAAGCCAAAAAAAAAAAAACUGAAGUGAUUUUAUUGUAAAGCAACUACACAACAAAGUUGGAAAAACAGAAUGGGUACUACUUCUGGCAUUUUUUCAUUUUUCAAACUGUCCUCUAUGCCUUGAGUCAUGACCAAUAUGUUAUAAGAUAGCUUUCCACUCAACUCUUAUUUACCCACUAAUUCUUCAUAACCUAUUUAUUUCACACAUAGAAUUUCCAUUUUCACAGUACAUAAAAAUGAAGAACAUCGAUCUAUCUGUCGGUGACUUCUUAUCUCCAAUCUUGAACAUCUACAAGUUUUCAUAUCAACCACCAAGUUUAUAUUCACAACCACCUCAUGUCACAAAAAUGGUAUCUAAUGAAAAGUUACUUUAUACCAGCAACCAGUCAUAGAUAAUUAUAUUUACUAAAUCACAUAAAAUGUAACCUUAAAUGCUGAGUUUAACCAGGAAACUAACUGGUAUAAAGAACAAGCAGGAUGUCCUCAAAAUGAAGACCAAAUUAGAGAACGAGGCAUAAUUUGCGGUUCAUUAUUACCAAAAGAGGGAUCAGUACCUCUUCAUCCCGGUGCAUGAAGUUCAUGAAACCAUCAUAGUGAUUGUUGUGAUGAGCACACUUGGGAGCAUUUACUGGAAGCUGCAUAUAGUUUGGGCCAAGACGGUGUCGCUGGGUAUCACCAUAUGCGAAUAUACGAGUCUGGAGCAGCUUGUCCUCUGUAUAAUAUAUCCCAGGUACAACAAAGGCAGGGUUAAAUGCAAGCUGCUCGGUCUCAGCAAAGUAGUUGUCAAUAUUCUUGUUCAAUACCAACCGGCCCACAGGUUGCAAAGGCAAAAUAUCUUCAGGCCAGAUCUUGCUUACAUCAAGCGGAUCAAAAUCAAACCGAUCUUCAUGAUCAGGAUCCAUAAUCUGGAUAAAAAGUCUCCACUCCGGAUAGUUUCCAGCAGCAAUUGAGUCAUAGAGAUCCUGGGUAGCAUGGCUAUGAUUUGAUCCUCCAACCUUAAUAGCUUCUUCCUCCAACAGGUUCUUCACUCCACAGGUUGGCUUCCAGUGGAACUUCACAUAAUGAGCUUUUCCAGCCUUGUCGAUCAGAGUGUAAGCAUGGACGCCAAAGCCUUCCAUAUGCCUGUAAUCUUGUGGAAUGCCGACAUCAUCUAAGAAGAAAGCAAACGUAAGCAAGCUCUCAGGAUGAUAGGAGAAGAAAUCAAGGAUUCUCCAAUACUCCUGGAUGUGGGUCUUUGGAUUUGGUUUCAGAGCAUGGAUCGAAUCUGGGAAUUUCAUUGCAUCACGAACAAAAAAGACGGGGGUAUUGUUUCCCACCAAAUCGAAAUUACCCUAUCCAGAUGCACAAAGCAACCAUCAGCAGCUUAUCAAGAGUGUCCAAGAAAAUGCAGACCAAGAACUACAUAAAACACCAACCACAUAAUCCAAGUCCCCUGAGAUCAUCUAUUGUGCCCGGAAAGCUUAUGUCCCUAGUUGUGGUGCUUACAAGUUAAUUGAAUGGAUAAGCUGCAUCUUGCUACUAAAUCAACAUACGCUUUCAGAAGGGGAAGCUCCCAAUUUUUACAACGCCAAAGUGUGCUAUGUGUGUGGUGGAGGGCAACAAAGUUAGGACAACUAUUAGUCGUGUUUUAUUCACAUCCAUAUGUGUUGAAUUUGAGAACUUCAAUGCCAUGGAAUACCAAAGGAAGGCUUCACAAUGGUUGGCUAAUUGGCAAAAAUUAUAAAUUGCUAGAAUGACACGUCCAAUUGAGCAGCUGUACAUCAUGCAAAUUCAGCUCUUCAAAAUUCUGUGAUUGUCUCUAAGAACAACUCGUAUCCAUUACUUUCCAGAUAUGAGACAAAGAGGCUUGACAUGUUAACUAAACAACACAUGUCAGUGGCUUUCUGCUGAUUUAAUUCUUAAUAUGUGCGCAGCAUAUGAAUCCAUCUAGUUGACUGACGGAUUAGCAGAACUAUUUUCUGAAGGAAAACAACAGAACUUACCUCCCUAGUGUAAAAUUUCACAG
rnacentral:lncRNA from 1 species